AGAAAUUAAAUGAACAGAUGAAUGACAAAUUAGAUUAGAUAAACUGAUAAUCGGUCUUUUAAACAGUUGACCUACCAGAUAAUUUGUUAUAUUAUAUAUUAAAAAAAGUGAGGUUUAUGACAGAGGUGUUUAACACAAUCAAAUGGCAACUGAUGUCGGCCAGCUGUGUUGUUCAAAGACGUGGACAUUGUCACAUGGGGAAUGCUACACCACAAUAUUCAGUAGCUUUUGUCAUCAGAGUUGUAUUAACAAUUUUGUAUUAGUGAUAUUCGUACCUUGAAAUUUAGGAUAGAUAAUUGAAUAUAAAAUUAAGUCUAUAUCAGAUAAGUCCAGAAGGCAGCAACACCCUCAACUUUAGAUUGGACAAAUGAGGUAUUAAAGGAAUUAAAAUAAUUACACUGGCAAACCUUUUUAAUUUAAGAUGUGCGUGGUUUUUUGACCAUCGCACAAAGGGGGGAAGUGAGUAAAAAUAUAAAAAGAGAAAAAAAAAAGAAAGAAAUUUGAUGAUAGAUGAUUUUAAAAGAAGAUUGAUGAUAGCCAAAUGCAACAUUUCUAAACAACGUCAGAAUUGGUGUUAGAAUAGAUUUGAUUGCCAUGGAAGGACUUAUGAUAGCUCCAUUACCACUACUGAACAUCCUGAUUCCUGAUGCGCACAGACAGUUUUGAUCACUGUGCAAGGGGGGAAAUGUGAGAAAGAUAAAAAGACAGGGAGUUUGGUCCCCAUACUUACAGACAAGGGUAGAUGAAUUUUCAAAUGAAUGUGAAAUAAUGUCAGAAAAGGAACAGCAACCCCAAUAGGCUCUAUUCCAGAAGGACCUUUCAAGCAUCUAGUGAUGGAUUGUUACAGCCAAGAUGGAGACCAUAUGCUAGAGACGAGGCAGCAGCAGGACUUAAAUUAAUAUUUGUAUAGAUAACGCCAAAUAAGAAUAUGGAAUGGAUUCAUUACAUAUAGUACAAUCAGCAGAGAUUUAUUAAUUACACGGAUGAAGCACUCGAAGCUCUAGGAGAACAACUAAAAGACACAAGCAAAAUGACCUGGCAGAAUAGACAAGCUCUGAAUUGGCUCCUGGCAGACACAGGAGGUGUGUGCGUAAUGUUUGAAACUGACUGUUGUACCUUUAUUCCUAAGCGGGCACAGACCUGGAUGGAUCAUUUACUAGGGACAUGAAGAAGAUAAAAGAAUUAAGACCGGAAGUUGCUACCAAUGCGGGGAGAGACAGGAGCUUUGGGUAUUGGCUUGACUCAAUAUUUGCAUCCUGGAAAGACUGGCUCAUUCAGGUGGGAAUAAUAUUAGCAGCAUCAGUUGGUGUUUUCUUUCUGUUGUUUUGUUGUGUUGUGCCUUUUCUCAGAUCAAUGCUGGCCAGUGCAGCUGCCAAACACAUGAUCAAUGAAACAGUGAGACCAACUGGAGUUGACAUUGGAUGUGUCAAUGAAGAGAUUCACCCAAGUGCCCCAGACCUGGAUGAGCUGGACGAGUUUCUGUAAAGUAACUAACUGAGACCAUAUGGAAAGAUGUAGAUAGAGGAACUAUACGUGAAGCGCGGUCACCGAUUGUCAAAGAAGGCAAGGGCAGACUCAACUGGUGGUUUAAAAACCCGCUGUCUGCUCCAACACCAGAUAGCGCUCCAAGGCAACUUGAGCACCUCUGGCAACGAUGGAGCAACCCAGAUAGCACUCCAGGCCACCGGAAGCGCCUGCGAAGUUCCUCUGGCACCGUGGGACAAGAUAAAGAUUCAAAAAUGCAGGGAAACACAAAGAAACAUGCCUCUUAAGCUGAUGAUGUAAAAAGGAGGGUAGGAUCUUUUACUCCACUCUAGUCAAUGGAGGGUGGAGAUGUUUGGUCCUGCUUCUCCUCCAGGGUGCACCUAUGUGAUGUGGGUUAGAUUGGUAAAAGGUGAAUGGUCUAUAUUGACCAUAUUGGUAGAAGGAGAGAAGACCGACUCAUAGAGAUGCAUCCUGGGCACAAUUAUUGAGUGUGGGACUAGAGAAAGUCCCAAAGGGGGGCUAUGUUGGAGAAUUCUGCUUGUCCUAUGUACAUGUGAAAGAAGAGUGCUGUACAUGUAAAAGAAGCAUGCUGUGCAUGUGAAAGAAGCGUGCAUGUGAUGUAAUGCCAAGCAGAAAAAGCUAGGGUCUUAGGGCACAUGAGGACAGGGACGAGAGAGUGGAAAAGUACCCAAAAAACACUUGUAGCACAGAUGCAGGUGUUGGGAGGCACUGGGAGAGAAACAGAUUGUAUACAAUGUAACAAUGUGCCACUGGGAAAAGUGUAAUGAAACAAGGAGCCCAUUGUGUAAAAAGAAAUGAUACGCAUGCGCAAGGAAGUUUGCCCCAAUUAAAAAUAAAAUGAUAAUGCAGGUGUUUUUAAUCUGGGAGGAGUAAUAAGGAGGAGCAAGGAGAUAAAAGAUAACAAUUUGAGCGCUAAUUGGCUACCACAAGGUAUAAGAAAUGAGUGCAGACCAUUGUAAGAUCAGAUGGCCAGCUGGCAUCUCACUUUGUUGAACUGCUCAAUAAAGUUGCUUUUCUGAGACCCAAAA